AGGCGAUGGGCUAUAGGAUGAGGACCUGCCAGGGCCAAGAAGACACAUUUCAGAAGGAGGCUCUUAAAGGCCAAGCCAAGAAGCAAGAGCACGGAUUUACAUCUCAUUGGCUGAGGGUGCUCCAGGAAUUUCUCACACAGAAGCGUGAGUGGCUGAAACGAAGAGAAUGGACAUGGAGCCCACCCGGAAGAGCACCCUUAACAUCAUCAUAUCCCUGAAGCACGAGUCGGGGUGGUGGGACUGCCCUGGAAACCCUGCACACAGCUGGCUUGAGCAGUGGGUAUUUUCAUAAGGCAUAUAUGGGCAUCACAGAACACUUGGAGCUUUAAUGAAGACAGCUGCCAUUCUGUGAGCUGUUCUAUGAAGGAGCCCACUUGGCAAGGAACUGGGGGAGGUCUCAGAUUAACAGCCAGCAAGAAACUGAAUCCUGCUAACAACCACCUGAAUGAACAUGAAAGCAGACCCUUCCCCAAUUGAGUCUUCAGAUGAGACCCAGUGCUCACCUGCACCUAGGUUGGAGCCCUAAGAGAAACCUUGAAGCAGAGGAACCAGCUUAACCUGAUCCAUGGAAACUAUAAAAUAAAAUGUGUGUUGUUUAAACUGCUAA
rnacentral:lncRNA from 10 species